UACGAAGGGGGCUAGCGUUGCUCGGAUUUACUGGGCGUAAAGGGCGCGUAGGCGGACAGUUAAGUUGGGGGUGAAAGCCCGGGGCUCAACCUCGGAAUUGCCUUCAAUACUGGCUGUCUUGAGUGUGAGAGAGGUGUGUGGAACUCCGAGUGUAGAGGUGAAAUUCGUAGAUAUUCGGAAGAACACCAGUGGCGAAGGCGACACACUGGCUCGGUACUGACGCUGAGGUGCGAAAGCGUGGGGAGCAAACAGG
rnacentral:rRNA from 1 species